UACGUAGGGGGCAAGCGUUGUCCGGAAUGACUGGGCGUAAAGGGAGUGUAGGCGGCCUUGCAAGUUAGAUGUGAAAUCCUACGGCUUAACCGUAGAACUGCAUCUAAAACUGUGAGGCUGGAGUGCAGGAGAGGUGAGUGGAAUUCCUAGUGUAGCGGUGGAAUGCGUAGAUAUUAGGAGGAACACCAGAGGCGAAGGCGACUCACUGGACUGUAACUGACGCUGAGGCUCGAAAGCGUGGGGAGCAA
rnacentral:rRNA from 1 species